rnacentral:lncRNA from 1 species
AGAAGAUGAUGGUCCCCUAUUACUCUGUCUGUAAGGUGGUCCGUAUGUGGACUGUGAAGACAUGUGUGUCCUGUCUAGGAAUCCUGUUGUAGUUGUUGUCCCUGAUUUUCCGCUAUUCUAUUUUCACUAAAACCACCACUGAAAGUCCCUCAUGUCUUGGCCUUCUUACGUAAAUCACUAGCUGCACGCUCCUCAUGCCCCUUAUUUUCAAUCUUUCUAGUAAGGUGGACUAUAUCAGAGUAGGAUAAAGUCUGCAUCUGUUGGGCUACUACAGUGUACAAACGACCAACCAAUCCAUC